AAUCCGACUGUUUAAUUAAAACAAAGCAUUGCGAUGGUCCCUGCGGAUGUUAACGCAAUGUGAUUUCUGCCUAGUGCUCUGAAUGUCAAAGUGAAGAAAUUCAACCAAGCGGGGUAAACGGUGGGAGUAACUAUGACUCUCUUAAGGUAGCCAAAUGCGUCGUCAUCUAAUUAGUGACGCGCAUGAAUGGAUUAACGAGAUU
rnacentral:lncRNA from 1 species